rnacentral:rRNA from 1 species
GUGCCAGCAGCCGCGGUAAUACGGAAGGUCCGAGCGUUAUCCGGAUUUAUUGGGUUUAAAGGGAGCGCAGGCGGAAUGUUAAGUCAGCUGUGAAAUCCCGUCGCUCAACGGCGGAACUGCAGUUGAUACUGGCUUUCUUGAGUGCACAUAAGGAUGGUGGAAUUCGUGGUGUAGCGGUGAAAUGCUUAGAUAUCACGAAGAACUCCGAUUGCGAAGGCAGCCAUCUGGGGUGCAACUGACGCUGAGGCUCGAAAGUGCGGGUAUCAAACAGGAUUAGAUACCCUGGUAGUCCGCACAGUAAACGAUGAAUACUCGCUGUCGGCGAUAUACUGUCGGCGGCCAAGCGAAAGCAUUAAGUAUUCCACCUGGGGAGUACGCCGGCAACGGUGAAACUCAAAGGAAUUGACGGGGGCCCGCACAAGCGGAGGAACAUGUGGUUUAAUUCGAUGAUACGCGAGGAACCUUACCCGGGCUUGAACUGCACCCGACGGACAAAGAGAUUUGUCUUCCGCAAGGCGGGUGUGGAGGUGCUGCAUGGUUGUCGUCAGCUCGUGCCGUGAGGUGUCGGCUUAAGUGCCAUAACGAGCGCAACCCUUCUCUUCAGUUGCCAUCAGGUAGAGCUGGGCACUCUGGAGACACUGCCAUCGUAAGAUGCGAGGAAGGUGGGGAUGACGUCAAAUCAGCACGGCCCUUACGUCCGGGGCUACACACGUGUUACAAUGGGAGGUACAGAAGGCCGCGACCCGGCGACGGGAAGCCAAUCCCCAAAUCCUCUCUCAGUUCGGACUGGAGUCUGCAACCCGACUCCACGAAGCUGGAUUCGCUAGUAAUCGCGCAUCAGCCAUGGCGCGGUGAAUACGUUCCCGGGCCUUGCACACACCGCCCGU